CCAGGGGAGAUGAGUCCGGCUCUACGUGCAUAGUCGCAUCUCUGCUCCAGAUCCAACUUGAAAGAGAGAAAGCCUCCCCCAUGCUCUAUUGAAAAUUCCUCUCUCUCUCUCUCUCUCUCUCUCUCUUUCUCUCUCUCUCCGCCCACGUUCUCUCGACGCUAUUCUCAAGUCUUACCACCAUACCAUCGUGCUCUCCGAGGUCCAGAUCCCCCUUUCUCCCUCUCUCGGCCUCGCUGAUCUUCGCUGCUCCACCCCAUAAUUGUUUUGUGGUCUGAUAUGGAAGCUCUUCUGUGGAUGUUUAUUGGAUAAGUCGACGUUCUUAACAAAACUUCAAUAGAACAAUGGCUGCUGCGAGCAAAGCAGACAAGAAAGCAGCAAUGGAUGUAGCCUCAUGGAUGUUCAACGUAGUGACUUCUGUAGGAAUCAUCAUGGUCAACAAAGCUUUGAUGGGCACAUAUGGCUUCAGUUUUGCUACUACUUUGACUGCUCUACAUUUUGCCACGACAACCCUCAUGACUACAGUUUUUAGGUGGCUGGGAUAUGUUCAGCCUUCACAUUUAUCCAUGCCUGAACUUCUGAAAUUUGUCCUUUUUGCAAACUUGUCAAUUGUUGGCAUGAACGUGAGUUUAAUGUGGAAUUCUGUGGGGUUCUAUCAAAUAGCGAAGCUAUGCAUGAUCCCAGUAUCAUGCCUACUAGAAGUAAUGUUGGAUAAAGUACGUUAUUCACGAGAUACAAAGCUCAGUAUAGUUGUGGUUCUCAUAGGAGUUGCAAUAUGUACUGUUACUGAUGUUAGUGUCAAUGCUAAAGGUCUGUUAGCUGCUACAAUAGCAGUCUGGAGCACUUCUUUGCAACAAUAUUAUGUUCAUUAUCUGCAACGGAAGUAUUCAUUGGGAUCAUUCAACCUCUUGAGCCAUACAGCUCCAGUACAGGCGGUAACACUACUUGUGUUGGGGCCUUUUAUGGACUUCUGGUUGUCAAACAAAAGAGUGGAUAAAUUUGAUUAUAAUGGUACUUCUUUGUUCUUCAUUGUACUCUCGUGCACAAUUGCGGUUGGAACCAACCUCAGCCAAUUCAUAUGCAUUGGAAGAUUCACAGCAGUGACAUUCCAAGUUCUUGGUCACAUGAAGACUAUUCUUGUUCUUGUCCUCGGAUUCAUAUUCUUUGGUAAAGAAGGUCUCAAUCUUCAUGUAGUCCUUGGCAUGAUCUUAGCAGUUUUAGGUAUGAUCUGGUACGGGAAUGCAUCAUCCAAACCAGGGGGGAAAGAGCGGCGGAGCUACUCGCUGCCAAUUGACAAAUCUCAGAAGCAUGGAUCAUUUUCAGAAUCAGUAGUGUCUGAUGAGAAGGUUUAGGUUUGGCAUAUAAGGGUUUAGGCUUUUCUUGCCAUCAUUAUUCAUUUGAAAAGUUGGUGAGAGGGCAUUUCUAGUCACUGAUUCAGCAGUUCCUCCCAUUGAUCUCUAUCAUGGAUUUAAAAUUUUCUUAAUUAAUUUUUUUUUUCUAUAGAUUUUUCUUGGAAAUACCACUCCAUAUGGUGCGGCGUUUGAAGUACCCUUUGGUUCAUUCACAGCAUUUGUGUUUUUUUUAAGAAGCAAAAGCAGCAAAGAAGUCCAAGGACUACUUUUUAAGAGAAACUAGUGGGAGGUACGUGUGAUGGAAGGGCUUCUGAGAAACAAUUUUUAGUUUUUUCUUUAAAUAAAAGCUUUUUAAUAAUCUCAAUAUUGAUGUCUUGAUGUCCAUGUUAUGUGAUGAGUUUAAACAUAAGUUUUUUGAUGUCUUCUCGAGGUUGUGGUCACGUACUAAUUAUUAUAAUUAUUUCCGUUAUAUUUGGUGA